AUUGAACGCUGGCGGCGUGCUUAACACAUGCAAGUCGAGCGGUAACAGGCGUAGCAAUACGUGCUGACGAGCGGCGAACGGGUGCGUAAUACAUGGGAAUCUGCCCCUUGGUGGGGAAUAACCCGGCGAAAGCCGGGCUAAUGCCGCAUAAGAUCUUCGGAUGAAAGCGGGGGAUCGUAAGACCUGGCGCCGAGGGAUGAGCCCAUGUCGGAUUAGCUAGUUGGUGAGGUAACGGCGCACCAAGGCGACGAUCCGUAGCUGGCCUGAGAGGACGGCCAGCCACACUGGGACUGAGACACGGCCCAGACUCCUACGGGAGGCAGCAGUGGGGAAUAUUGGACAAUGGGCGAAAGCCUGAUCCAGCGACGCCGCGUGUGUGAAGAAGGCCUGCGGGUUGUAAAGCACUUUCGAUGGGAACGAAAUGUGCCGGGUUAACACCCCGGCAAGCUGACGUUACUCAAUGAAGAAGCACCGGCUAACUCUGUGCCAGCAGCCGCCGUAACAC
rnacentral:rRNA from 1 species